AGAGUUUGAUCCUGGCUCAGGACGAACGCUGGCGGCGCGCCUAAUCCAUGCAAGUCGAGCGACGCAUUCCUUAGCCCGUAAGGGCGGGUUUGACGGAGCGGCGAACGGGUGCGUAACACGUGACCAAUCUGCCCCGAAGACCGGGAUAGCCCGGGGAAACCCGGAUUAAUACCGGAUGAUCUCACCACCACGCAUGUGGAGGUGAGCAAAGGCUCAGGCGCUUCGGGAUGAGGUCGCGGCCCAUCAGCUUGUUGGUGAGGUAACGGCUCACCAAGGCAAUUACGGGUAGCUGGUCUGAGAGGACGAUCAGCCACACUGGAACUGAGAUACGGUCCAGACUCCUACGGGAGGCAGCAGGAGGGAAUCUUGCGCAAUGGGCGAAAGCCUGACGCAGCGACGCCGCGUGGGGGAUGAAUGCCUUAGGGUUGUAAACCCCUUUCACGAGGGAAGAAACUGACGGUACCUCGAGAAGAAGCCCCGGCCAACUACGUGCCAGCAGCCGCGGUAAUACGUAGGGGGCGAGCGUUGUCCGGAUUUAUUGGGCGUAAAGGGCUCGUAGGCGGCUUGGCAAGUCGGCCGUGAAAACCCAGGGCUCAACUCUGGGACGCCGGUCGAUACUGCCAUGGCUAGGGUCCGGUAGAGGGGAAUGGAAUUCCCGGUG
rnacentral:rRNA from 1 species